rnacentral:lncRNA from 1 species
AGAGAUAUAGGGGGGCCUUUGACUAAGGAAGAGAGGGAGAGAUGGAAAUAGAGAAUGGGGUGUCUUGAGUAAAUUUCCAAUUGCUGACAAAAGCUUGGUCGCACUCUUGGAUCGUGUGUUUGCUGGGUUGAAGGUGCCUCCUUUUAUAGGCACUGGAACCCUCAAUUUUAUCAAGUCUCCCUCUCCCCUUUUCCUUCACUUUCUUCCAUUCAACCUUAUUUGGUGAAACUUUCCCAGCUCGUGUGCAUAUGCACAAAGCUUUUUGAGUUCCAAGAUCUUCACGUAGCUGGACUUUUUCAUGUGGGUGAGGUGCCACCCACUUUUCUUCUUGGUUUUCUUAUUUGAUCCUGCAAAAGAAAUAAAAAUGGGUAAGGGCGUCAAUCUAAUGGGUAUUCCUCCUGCACAUGUGAAUUUCCUUUGGUUUUUGCAGUGGCUUACCAUUGCACUUGGUUCUAAGACUUUUGACAACGCUAAAUACGAUGCUAGAUAUUUUAUAAGGUGCUGGGCUGGGCUUUUUCAUAAGGUAUUGGGAUAUGGGCAUUUUAUUUCCAGCGGCCUACGAGCUUGCCCUGGUUUCGUCAAGCUGCUGAAGUAGCUUAUUUGCUUUAUUUUUUGACAAGGUGUUGUAUGUCUUAGCUGAUGUGAGACUUUUCUAAGUGUUGCAAACCAUUGGAUAUUCUCCUAAGGCAUUGGGCCACUUCUCUCUCUCUUUCUCUCUUUCUUGUUUAC